UGCCGCAAUCUAAAGGGAACCUGUCAUCAACUUUGUGCUGACCUCACUGAGGGCAGUAUAAAAUAGUGACAGAAAUGCUGAUCUCAGUGGUGUGUCACUCGUGAGCUUAAAGUAAGUGGUUGCUGAGAACCAGCAUCAUAAACAUUGCAUUGACUUGAGAAGAGUCAAAUCUACCUGAGAAGAGUCCUGGUUAUACAUAAUCUCCUGCUCUCUCGCCCAUCUGCUGA